rnacentral:tmRNA from 1 species
GGGGUUGACCGGUUUUGACAGCGUGUAGAAGUGGUGGGUAAGCGUGCAGAGCUUUGGUAUCUACGCUCUAUAAUAUCAGAUUCCGACUUUUUUAAAUGGCGAAAACAACUACGCUCUUGCUGCUUGAUUGAAGUAUAGUAGAUCAGCUUAAUCGCCGCAACAGUUGCAGCGACAAGACAUCGCCCGAUUGUCCUUUUUCCGAGACUAAUCGAUCAGGCGGUGCAGGUAAAUCGGAAAUAGGGAACCAAAAGCCUCGAGAGGCUCCCGAAANUUUAGAGGAUAAGGCUGCGGUCGGUGGUUUCAGGCCAGCCACAGCACGAAAACUAACUUGAGACUACGCACGUAGAAAGCUCAUUAGUUCCACGUUUGGACGAGGGUUCGAAUCCCUCCAGCUCCACAA